GUGGAAAUUUGGGAAUGUGCGGUCAAGAUUUCUCCCGGGUUGAGUUGAGCUCGGGCAGGACGCGAGACUGACUGCAUCUGUGUACGAACUAUCAGCUGGGCUAAGAGAGAACAUAUUGAGAAGGCUCAGAGGUGAAGAGCAGUCGGCGGACAGAAAGUGGACACCGCAACGUGAGGACAUUGUCUUAGAUCACAGCCACACUUACUCUAACAAACACUGCAACAGUCACGCAGCUGGUUUUAACCAGGCCAGUCAUUACGUUUUAACCCCACUUUACCAUCUCAGGUGUGGGGAGCCAUUUAGUCACGACAGACAGACAUUACUGAGAUUCCUCCGCCCCCUUGAGAGAAAACAUCACUUUUAUAUUCACACCUGUUACCAAACUCCAGCAGAUACCUUCAUUAUAUUUUUUGUUUUGUAAUCACUGACCAAACCCUCUCUCAUGGGAGUAACAUAGAGACCAGCCCAGCACAGACACUCUCUGCUCUAUUUCUCUCUUGCAUUCACACACACACAAACGCACACACACUCAUCUGCACCGUGUUCAGGAUGCCCUCCUCCUCCAGCGUGAUUAGCCGGGGAAGGACGCGGCUCUUGUGGUGAUUGGAGGGGGGAGCGGAGCAGAGCUGGACCCAUGUCGUGGAAGCGGAACUACUUUGCUUCAGGCAGCAGCGGGCUGCAGGGGAUGUUUACCCCAUGCACCAUGACCUCCAUCGCUCCCAGCAAAGGC
rnacentral:lncRNA from 1 species